rnacentral:rRNA from 1 species
UACGUAGGAGGCAAGCGUUGUCCGGAAUUACUGGGCGUAAAGCGCGUGUAGGUGGUGGGACAAGUCUGCUGUGAAAGCUCCCGGCUCAACUGGGAGAGGUCCUUGCAUACUGGCGGACUUGAGGGGGGUAGAGGAAAGUGGAAUUCCCGGUGUAGUGGUGAUAUGCGUAGAUAUCGGGAGGAACACCUGUGGCGAAGGCGGCUUUCUGGGCCCUACCUGACGCUGAGACGCGAAAGCGUGGGGAGCGAACCGG